rnacentral:rRNA from 1 species
UACGGGGGGGGCAAGCGUUGUCCGGAAUUACUGGGCGUAAAGAGCUCGUAGGUGGUUUGUCGCGUUGUUCGUGAAAACUCACAGCUCAACUGUGGGCGUGCGGGCGAUACGGGCAGACUUGAGUACUGCAGGGGAGACUGGAAUUCCUGGUGUAGCGGUGGAAUGCGCAGAUAUCAGGAGGAACACCGGUGGCGAAGGCGGGUCUCUGGGCAGAUACUGACGCUGAGGAGCGAAAGCGUGGGGAGCGAACAGG